AGAGGGGGCAAGCGUUGUUCGGAAUUACUGGGCGUAAAGGGCGCGUAGGCGGCCUGCUAAGUCGAACGUGAAAUCCCCGAGCUCAACUCGGGAACUGCGUCCGAUACUGGCAGGCUUGAAUCCGGGAGAGGGAUGCGGAAUUCCAGGUGUAGCGGUGAAAUGCGUAGAUAUCUGGAGGAACACCGGUGGCGAAGGCGGCAUCCUGGACCGGCAUUGACGCUGAGGCGCGAAAGCCAGGGGAGCAAACGGGAUUAGAUACCCCGGUAGUCCUGGCCCUAAACGAUGAAUGCUUGGUGUGGCGGGUAUCGAUCCCUGCCGUGCCGAAGCUAACGCAUUAAGCAUUCCGCCUGGGGAGUACGGUCGCAAGGCUGAA
rnacentral:rRNA from 1 species